CAUGUCAACAAGCAAAGCUAUGUCCUCCACAGAAUAUGGGGCAUGAUAGCUUUUACACCUAAUACAUAGUUUUCCAAUGAUUUUUGUCUUGUCUCACGCCUAUUUCUCUACCUAUAUAAGCACCCAUAUAGCCUGAUACUGAAAUUCAGGGGUUCUUAUACUCAUGAGGCCCACUUCCUUCAAUAGAGAUAAAUGGAAGCAACAGAGAUGUACAUGUUAAACCAGAAAUUGAGAUCAAAUCGAUGCUUUGAUCAUCACCAGCAAAGAACAAAAUGGCUACCAAGCUGAAGUUGACAAGCCAUCACAGUCUUCCAUUUUAACGAGGACACAUGCAGGCUACUUCAGGAUAAGCCUGUCUUUUGGUACACAAGCCUUGCUACGGAAGGUCCUAAGUGAGCCUAAUAAUAAUGGUUCACAAGAUGUCUGGCACGUAUUUCGUAUGCUUCCUUCAACUGCUUUUCUUUUGCUAUGGUGGCUCGCACUUCUGAUACAAAUUUCCCUCUCUCUUAUCUAUGUUCUGAAAUGUUUCUUUCACUUUAACUUGGUGAAGCAAGAGUUCUUGCACUAUAUAGGAGUAAACUACUCGUAUGCUCCUUGGAUUUCAUGGUUUUUGUUGCUUCAAUCGUCACCUAUAUCUAUUUCAGAAAUUGUUCCCUAUUUUGUUGUUUGUAGCAUCUUUACUGUUCCUAUUGUGAUGCUCGAUAUAAAACUAGGCCUGUGAUAAUACCAUAUGUAUUCUGAGUGAGGGAAACUUUGCUCUCAUCUAAUUAAUCAAUCUGUAUACUGUGUAACAGACUUGUAGGCCAGCUCUUUUCAAGAAAUCAAUGAGAAAAUUCAAUGUUGCAUGGACAUGGGGUUUCAUGCACCACCGGGAGUGAUUUUUGUAGGUUCCAAGUUAUAUGUUUUUUGGUUGGUGUCAUCUUCUCCCUCCACACCCUCUGGGUUUCAUCAAACCACUCUCAAGGAUGAAACAAACUCUUUUCAUUGACGUAGAUGCAGGAGAGAAGAUUGAUGGUCCACCAAUGUAUGUCUGGCAAGUGUUCUCCAUAUGCUAUUUAUGUGAACGGAAAAAAUUGCAUGUUUGAGAGGCGGCUUGAUCCUGAAAGAGCUCCAAACUUCGAGCUCUUUGAUGGAGUGAAGCAUUCAUGGUCUGAACUUCCCUAACUCCCGAAACUCCCAGCAAGAUUCUUGCCCUUUAUGACUCAGCGAGACCACAUCGUAGACGGAGAUGCAUGCAUGCUGUGUUUAUAUGGAUUCGACAGGUAUAUAUUGGCUGUAAAACAUAAACCGAGUGGGAGCAUCUUAUCCAAUUUGGUGGCGUAGCUCAUUUUCCAUUUACUGGGUUUGGAAUAGUUAUCGAGAAUCUACGUUUCACAUCAAUCAAUGACAGGAAUUUUGUUAGUGUUAGUAGGGAGUUAUAUAUUUAGCAGGUAGGAAGGUUGUUAGAAAUAGUUGGAGGGAAAUCAAGUUCAGUUAGUAGAGGAAAAGUCUCUGUAAAUGGAUGGUAUUUAUUUCCUGAUAAUCAGUUAAUGAAUGGAGUAAUUUUGCCGAAA